rnacentral:rRNA from 1 species
AAACCUACGGGAGGCAGCAGUGGGGAAUAUUGGGCAAUGGGCGCAAGCCUGACCCAGCAACGCCGCGUGAAGGAAGAAGGCUUGCGGGUUGUAAACUUCUUUUGUCAGGGACGAAGCAAGUGACGGUACCUGACGAAUAAGCCACGGCUAACUACGUGCCAGCAGCCGCGGUAAUACGUAGGGGGCAAGCGUUAUCCGGAUUUACUGGGUGUAAAGGGAGCGCAGGCGGCGCGGUAAGUCUGAUGUGAAAGCCCGGGGCUCAACCCCGGGACUGCAUUGGAAACUGUCGUGCUGGAGGGUAGGAG